CUGGUGGAGGUCAUGCACCACCACACUAUACCCCAGCAGAGGACCUGUCCCUUGGGUUAAAUGAACACCAGGCCAAUGUGGAGGGCAUCCCCGGGGGGAGCUCUUCCUCAGACCCAAAGCCAGGGACCAGUAGCAGCAACACCGUCAUUACUGUUUUACAAAGUACACCAACACUUGUACCUGUUGCCAAGCAAGUGGUGGCUGAGGCAUAUGCGGACAUGGAAGACACCCUCUCAGAUGACUGUCCUUUGGAGGAACCUGAGUCCAUAGCUGGAGAAAGGCUUGAAGAGUCUGCACAAAGAACUGAUACAGAGGUGGACAGUGUUGUAUUUUUACUUUUGUUGCAUUGUGGCAUGUUUUGACUGUCUUUUUUUCUUUCACAAAAUGACACAGGGAGACAUCCGUUCCCUAUAUAAAAGGCAUCUUCACCAAACAAUUGAGUAUUUGGAGUUGAAAAAACGCAAAUUAAGAGGAGAAAUUCGUCUUGACAACUUGAGAAAGAGAGAAAUUGCACUACAGAUCGAGUUGCUUCAAAAGGAACUUCAGAGCAAGAGAUGACUUGCUGCCUGGUCUCCAUAAAGAAUAAUCGCUUAAAUAAAAAUACAG